CUUCAGAUUCCUUUUAUUUCCCACAAUGGGAAAUGAUUUUUCUUUUCACACUGAGCCAUGCCCAGAAUUUGUAAGAUAAAAUUUAAUAUUUUCUAAUAAUUUCUCCCCCCAUGGUGUGAAAUGAUGAGCUAUUCUAAAGGGGAAAGAAAUGCUUAAAAGCAAUUAUCAAGCUCAUGGCUCUUCUGCCUCCACCUCCAAGACUUAUACAUGGAAAUUAGCAUUUUAACCUGGAGUCUGCUACUUUACUGAGAACCCAGGACCUCGAGGGAGGAAGGUGGAGACUUCAGAGAGAAAAGGAGAGGAGAAGGUGGAAAGGAGAUGGAGUAAGAAGAGAUUUGGAUAUUCUUAGUAGAGUGAUGUGGCCCAAAGUCAAGGAAAGCCAGAAGGAAUGUGACGUCAUCAAGCUCUCCCCCAGAGCCACUAAGGGAGUGCACCCCACCACCUCUCGAUUUCAGCUAAUUUUGGAUUUCUGGCCCCCGAACCUAUCUGCGCCUGGGAGGUGGAAAAUGAAGAUGCUGGCAGCUUCAGUGGCUGCUGGGAGCUCGCUCCCCACCUGCAGCAAUCAAGUCUCAACCUGUCCCCUCAGGGCUCAGCUCUCAUCACCAUAUUCAACCUGACCUCCUUGUAGACUCAUCUCCAAACACAGCCUCGAGGGGGUUAAGACUUCAGCACAUAGAUGUGGGCAGCACGAUUCAGUCUAGAUCACAAUCACCACAAAUUCUUAGUCUAUUUUUUCACCAACUGUAUUUUAAGUUGAUUCCUUUGAAAUGUUGCCUAUAAUUAUUUGAUCUUCAAAAUGAGCAGUUUUAUAUGGUUCGGCCGCAUCAUUAGGCUAGUGUUUUCCUCUGCAGCUGAUCAUCCUUGGCCACAGUGAGGUUGUUUCUAUCGGGGGAGCCUGGGUACCAGUGUUGGAAGUAGAGGGCAAGUCUAUACUCCCUCUAUGCACAUCCCCAUGUUCAAAGAAGUUUGGAAUUAAACAGAAAAUGAAAACACAAAUUCCAUAGUAGGUUGAGCGACCAUGGAAGAAAGGAAAUGGUUUUAUCCUGACAUCUGAACAGGAUACCCCACACUUAUUUUUUUGUGUGCUCAGUCCCAUAAUAGUUUGGAGCCAGCC